rnacentral:misc_RNA from 1 species
UCAAACUUGGUCAUUUAGAGGAAGUAAAAGUCGUAACAAGGUCUCCGUAGGUGAACCUGCGGAGGGAUCAUCAAAGAAUUUCCAAAAACCACAAAGUGCUCUUCUCUCUCUCUCUUUUACGAGUUGAGAGGGAGGGAGUGAGUGCUUUCAAACAAACGAUCACAACUACUAGACAAUAAUAUAUGUGUGAGGGAAAUUGGAUUGGGUUGGAUUGAGUUUUGUGGGAAACCAACAAACCAAAAAGUGUUUGCCUGAUAAUUUGGAUUGAUUGGAAAAAGAGAAAAAUAAUACAACUUUCAACAACGGAUCUCUUGGCUCUCACAUCGAUGAAGAACGCAGC